rnacentral:rRNA from 1 species
UACGGAGGGUGCAACCGUUGCUCGGAAUCAUUGGGCGUAAAGCGCACGUAGGCGGACUGUUAAGUCGGAUGUGAAAUCCCUCAGCUUAACUGAGGAAGUGCACUCGAAACUGGCAGUCUUGAGUAUGGAAGAGGGUCGCGGAAUUCCCGGUGUAGAGGUGAAAUUCGUAGAUAUCGGGAGGAACACCAGUGGCGAAGGCGGCGACCUGGGCCAAUACUGACGCUGAGGUGCGAAAGCGUGGGGAGCAAACAGG